rnacentral:lncRNA from 1 species
GGUCAUUUAUAUUUUUUAAUGGUAUUUUCAAUUGACAAUAAUUGUUUAUAUUUAUGGGGUACAAUGUGAUGUUUUGAUACAUGUGUAAAUUGCAGAAUGAGUAAAUCAAGCUAAUUAACAUAUCCAUAACUUCAUCUGUGUAUUUUUGUGGGCAUAGUGAGAACACUGAAAAUUUACUCUUAGCAAUUUUGAAAUAUAUAAUACAUUCCGAACUAUGGUCACCCACCAUGCUGUGCCACAGAUCUCAGAAACUUAUUCUCCUGUCUAACCCAAACAUUGUACUCUGUGACCUACAUUGCCCCUUUGCCUCUCCUCCUUAGGUUUAAAUUUGGCCUCUACCAGUUGCUAGUUCUGUCAUUUGGGGUGAGUUGCUUUAAACCCCAGGCCUCAGUUUCCCAAGAAAUCAGCUGUGCCAUCAAAGACAGUGCCUGCAAUCUGCGCAGCUCCUCCCAGGACAGAGAUAUGUGCUGAGCAAUUGAUUGUUAAAUGUGGACCAGAAAGCAGAUCUGCUGGAGCCAACAGCAAGCAGGGUGGUUUCUGAGAAAGGCCUCACCUCGCUUUCGAAGGUUGAGGUUGGAGAGGGUGGGGUGUAUCAGGAUUGAAUCUACUCAUGGGAAAAUAGCCUCUCUGAAUGUGCCCACUGGAUUCCUGCCCUGACCCUGUCCUGGGGUACUGGAUGCCUGCCCCUUAUCAGAGGGCAGUGCCAUGCCCUGUAAAGCACAGUUCAGAUGGCCCUGGCAGGAAGAUAAUAAUGACCCUCAUCUUUCAAAAGAGGAAGCUGAGACACUGAGAGGGUAGGUCCCCUGAAGGUCAUACAGCUCUUAAAUGCUGGGGCCAGGAUUCCAACGCAGGCAGGGAGGCCCGGAUCUGAGCUCACAGUGACCACACCCCAGCCUCUGUGAACUGAAUUUACGCAAUGUCUGGGAAGAAAAGGCAGGGUCCACUCCGCUCAGAGCCAUGCAGGGCAGUGUGCUCCCGUCUCCCCGGCAUUUGAAUCACUCUUGUGGUGUGUGUCCAGCACAGAUGCACGGGACCCCUCAGGCCCAUAUCCUCAAACAGGUAGUGGUGGGGCACCAGUGCACGAACACUAGGGCUCAGCAGUCAGCCUGGGCGGGUCACAGUUCCGAUACCCUCCAGGCUGUCUGGGAGGCGGCCUGGCUGUGGGACCAGUUCUCAUGUGAAGCAAUGAAGCCACUCUGAGCUUGGCCCCCUGCCCUGGCAUGGGCACUGGGCUGCCUGUGUGAAACUCUUGUUUCUCCAGGUGCAAGACAAACCUGGCACUCUUUCUGGCUUCUCCAUUCACUUGCCGGGGGCAGGUGGCCAAGCCUGGUUUCAUCUCCUUGGGGGGGAAUGGAAUACUCUCCACAUUCAACCCAAAAACAGCCCCAGCAAAGGGCUGACAUGGGAGGGAGAGGGGCAGGGUGGCGCCACGCACCCACGGGCACCCAAUGCUUUGACGCCGAGACCCAAGCAUCUCUCUCAGACAUCCCUUCUCAUACCAGAAACAGAGCCCACGUAUACCAGUCAGACCUGCAGUCAGGCCCAUUCACGAGUCAGGCCCAUUCACCAGUCAGAAACCACACAGCCACUUAUUUGAACAGGGGAAGUUUAAUAUAAAGAUGAACUCUACUCGGAGCAUAGAGUUUAAAAAGAGUUCUAC